rnacentral:rRNA from 1 species
AGCGGGUGAAAAGCCCGCUCGCCGGAAGACCAAGGGUUCCUGUCCAACGUUAAUCGGGGCAGGGUGAGUCGACCCCUAAGGCGAGGCCGAAAGGCGUAGUCGAUGGGAAACGGGUUAAUAUUCCCGUACUUGGUGUUACUGCGAAGGGGGGACGGAGAAGGCUAUGUUGGCCGGGCGACGGUUGUCCCGGUUUAAGCGUGUAGGUGUGUGUUCCAGGUAAAUCCGGUUCACUUUAACACUGAGGCGUGAUGACGAGGCACUACGGUGCUGAAGCAACAAAUGCCCUGCUUCCAGGAAAAGCCUCUAAGCAUCAGGUAACAUCAAAUCGUACCCCAAACCGACACAGGUGGUCAGGUAGAGAAUACCAAGGCGCUUGAGAGAACUCGGGUGAAGGAACUAGGCAAAAUGGUGCCGUAACUUCGGGAGAAGGCACGCUGACACGUAGGUGAAGUGAUUUACUCACGGAGCUGAAGUCAGUCGAAGAUACCAGCUGGCUGCAACUGUUUAUUAAAAACACAGCACUGUGCAAACACGAAAGUGGACGUAUACGGUGUGACGCCUGCCCGGUGCCGGAAGGUUAAUUGAUGGGGUCAGCGCAAGCGAAGCUCCUGAUCGAAGCCCCGGUAAACGGCGGCCGUAACUAUAACGGUCCUAAGGUAGCGAAAUUCCUUGUCGGGUAAGUUCCGACCUGCACGAAUGGCGUAAUGAUGGCCAGGCUGUCUCCACCCGAGACUCAGUGAAAUUGAACUCGCUGUGAAGAUGCAGUGUACCCGCGGCAAGACGGAAAGACCCCGUGAACCUUUACUAUAGCUUGACACUGAACAUUGAGCCUUGAUGUGUAGGAUAGGUGGGAGGCUUUGAAGUGUGGACGCCAGUCUGCRUGGAGCCGACCUUGAAAUACCACCCUUUAAUGUUUGAUGUUCUAACGUGGACCCGURAUCCGGGUUGCGGACAGUGUCUGGUGGGUAGUUUGACUGGGGCGGUCUCCUCCUAAAGAGUAACGGAGGAGCACGAAGGUUGGCUAAUCCUGGUCGGACAUCAGGAGGUUAGUGCAAUGGCAUAAGCCAGCUUGACUGCGAGCGUGACGGCGCGAGCAGGUGCGAAAGCAGGUCAUAGUGAUCCGGUGGUUCUGAAUGGAAGGGCCAUCGCUCAACGGAUAAAAGGUACUCCGGGGAUAACAGGCUGAUACCGCCCAAGAGUUCAUAUCGACGGCGGUGUUUGGCACCUCGAUGUCGGCUCAUCACAUCCUGGGGCUGAAGUAGGUCCCAAGGGUAUGGCUGUUCGCCAUUUAAAGUGGUACGCGAGCUGGGUUUAGAACGUCGUGAGACAGUUCGGUCCCUAUCUGCCGUGGGCGCUGGAGAACUGAGGGGGGCUGCUCCUAGUACGAGAGGACCGGAGUGGACGCAUCACUGGUGUUCGGGUUGUCAUGCCAAUGGCACUGCCCGGUAGCUAAAUGCGGAAGAGAUAAGUGCUGAAAGCAUCUAAGCACGAAACUUGCCCCGAGAUGAGUUCUCCCUGA